UCUUGACUAGUAUAUCGGUUAGUACACGCGCUUGUCACUUUGAUUACAUAAGCCAUACGCGCGAAAGCUGGGUUCGACUCCCAGGUCGAGAG